rnacentral:rRNA from 1 species
UACGUAGGGGGCAAGCGUUGUCCGGAAUUAUUGGGCGUAAAGAGCGUGUAGGCGGCCUGGGAGGUCCGUUGUGAAAACUCGAGGCUCAACCUCGAGACGCCGAUGGAAACCCCCUGGCUAGAGUCCGGAAGAGGAGAGUGGAAUUCCUGGUGUAGCGGUGAAAUGCGCAGAUAUCAGGAAGAACACCCGUGGCUAAGGCGGCUCUCUAGUACGGUACUGACGCUGAGUCGCGAAAGCGUGGGGAGCGAACAGG